UACGUAGGUGACAAGCGUUGUCCGGAUUUACUGGGCGUAAAGAGCGCGCAGGCGGUCGAUCAAGUCGAGUGUGAAAGCCCCCGGCUCAACUGGGGAGGGUCAUUCGAUACUGAUCGACUCGAAGGCAGGAGAGGGUAGUGGAAUUCCCGGUGUAGUGGUGAAAUGCGUAGAUAUCGGGAGGAACACCAGUGGCGAAGGCGGCAUCCUGGACCGACACUGACGCUGAGGAGCGAAAGCCAGGGGAGCAAACGGG
rnacentral:rRNA from 1 species